rnacentral:rRNA from 1 species
AUUGAGCGCUGGCGGCAGGCCUAACACAUGCAAGUCGAACGGUAACAGAAAGCAGCUUGCUGCUUUGCUGACGAGUGGCGGACGGGUGAGUAAUGUCUGGGAAACUGCCUGAUGGAGGGGGAUAACUACUGGAAACGGUAGCUAAUACCGCAUAACGUCGCAAGACCAAAGAGGGGGACCUUCGGGCCUCUUGCCAUCGGAUGUGCCCAGAUGGGAUUAGCUAGUAGGUGGGGUAACGGCUCACCUAGGCGACGAUCCCUAGCUGGUCUGAGAGGAUGACCAGCCACACUGGAACUGAGACACGGUCCAGACUCCUACGGGAGGCAGCAGUGGGGAAUAUUGCACAAUGGGCGCAAGCCUGAUGCAGCCAUGCCGCGUGUAUGAAGAAGGCCUUCGGGUUGUAAAGUACUUUCAGCGGGGAGGAAGGGAGUAAAGUUAAUACCUUGGCUCAUUGACGUUACCCGCAGAAGAAGCACCGGCUAACUCCGUG